rnacentral:rRNA from 1 species
AGUCGAACGAUUAAAGCUCUCUUCGGAGAGUGCAUAGAGUGGCGCMCGGGUGAGUAACACGUAAGUAAUCUACCUUCGAGUGGGGAAUAACGUCCGGAAACGGACGCUAAUACCGCAUAAUGCAGCGGCAUCGUAAGAUGACAGUUGUUAAAGAUUUAUCGCUUGAAGAGGAGCUUGCGGCAGAUUAGCUAGUUGGUAGGGUAAUGGCUUACCAAGGCUACGAUCUGUAACCGGUCUUAGAGGACGGUCGGUCACACUGACACUGAAUAACGGGUCAGACUCCUACGGGAGGCAGCAGUCGGGAAUUUUGGGCAAUGGGCGAAAGCCUGACCCAGCAACGCCGCGUGAAGGAUGAAGUAUUUCGGUAUGUAAACUUCGAAAGAAUAGGAAGAAUAAAUGACGGUACUAUUUAUAAGGUCCGGCUAACUACGUGCCAGCAGCCGCGGUAAUACGUAGGGACCAAGCGUUGUUCGGAUUUACUGGGCGUAAAGGGCGCGUAGGCGGCUUUGUAAGUCACUUGUGAAAUCUCUGAGCUUAACUCAGAACGGCCAAGUGAUACUGCAAUGCUAGAGUGCAGAAGGGGCAAUCGGAAUUCUUGGUGUAGCGGUGAAAUGCGUAGAUAUCAAGAGGAACACCUGAGGUGAAGACGGGUUGCUGGGCUGACACUGACGCUGAGGCGCGAAAGCCAGGGGAGCAAACGGGAUUAGAUACCCCGGUAGUCCUGGCCCUAAACGAUGAAUACUUGGUGUCUGGAGUAAUUUGUGCUCCGGGUGCCGUCGCUAACGUUUUUAGUAUUCCGYCUGGGGAGUACGCUCGCAAGAGUGAAACUCAAAGGAAUUGACGGGGACCCGCACAAGCGGUGGAGCAUGUGGUUUAAUUCGACGCAACGCGAAGAAY